AAUUAUUGCUGAAUAAUAUGGUAAUUCUAUGCUUCAUUUUUUGAGGAAAUACAGUACUGUUUUCCAGAAUGGCUGCACCAUUUUACAUUCCCACCAGCAGU
rnacentral:pre_miRNA from 1 species